rnacentral:rRNA from 1 species
UAGGGAAUCUUCCGCAAUGGACGAAAGUCUGACGGAGCAACGCCGCGUGAGUGAAGAAGGAUUUCGGUUCGUAAGACUCUGUUGUUAGGGAAGAAAAAAUGUAUAGUAACUAUAUACAAAAGAGACGGUACCUAACCAGAAAGCCACGGCUAACUACGUGCCAGCAGCCGCGGUAAAACGUAGGUGGCAAGCGUUGUCCGGAAUUAUUGGGCGUAAAGCGCGCGCAGGUGGUUUAGAAAGUCUGAUGUGAAAGCCCACGGCUCAACCGUGGAGGGUCAUUGGAAACUAAUAAACUUGAGUGCAGGAGAGAAAAGUGGAAUUCCUAGUGUAGCGGUGAAAUGCGUAGAGAUUAGGGGGAACACCGGUGGCGAAAGCGGCUUUUUGGCCUGCAACUGACACUGAGGCGCGAAAGCGUGGGGAGCAAACAGG